rnacentral:rRNA from 1 species
CAUAGCUACCCAGCUAUGUGUGGACGGGAUAAGUGCUGAAAGCAUCUAAGCA